GUGUCAGCAGCCGCGGUAAUACAGAGGGUGCAAGCGUUGCUCGGAAUUAUUGGGCGUAAAGGGUAGGUAGGUGGUCUCGUUUGUCAGAGGUGAAAGCCUUGGGCUUAACCUGAGAAGUGCCUCUGAAACGGCGAGACUAGAGUGCUGGAGAGGGUCGUGGAAUUCCCGGUGUAGCGGUGAAAUGCGUAGAGAUCGGGAGGAACACCAGAGGCGAAGGCGGCGACCUGGACAGCUACUGACACUCAACUACGAAAGCGUGGGGAGCAAACAGGAUUAGAAACCCUCGUAGUCC
rnacentral:rRNA from 1 species